rnacentral:lncRNA from 1 species
UAUCACACUAAUCACAUAUACAGAAAACUGAAGAUUGGUAGAAAUCAGAAAAAACAACCAAUUGAGUCCUUAAUUUAUUAUAAAUUCAUUUACUAUAAAGAAAACCAUUCAUUUCAUAUUUAUGUAACAAGUCUCUCCCAACAAUAACUUACAAAAACUCAUAUUCAAACACUAUUAUUUAUCGCAUAGAAGAUAAUAAGAAAUGAUCAUUUUACAUUUUUACCCACUUACCAGUACCCUUGGGGGUCCAUUGGGAUGUCCUCCUACUCGUGAAUCCAAUAUCUAAUUAAACAAUUAACCGGUCGUCUCCAUACCCCGUCUGGUAUGGGCGCCAAACAUGCCACCACCUCGAUACCCCGUUCGAUAUGAGAGUGAAUCAUAUCUCUCAAAUCUUCCUAGUAAGAGACUUUCCAGCCCCGUCCAACUGAGCUUACACAUUCACGGUAGGGUUCUCUAUGUACCGAGCCCGUCCACCCUUUCCCGGGUACCUAAUAAGUCUUUCUUAUAUAGAUUUUCAUCAGCAUAAUAAUUAACCAUGCAAUAACCAUAUCUCAUUUUAUACUCACCGUUCACUUAAACAAUAAUAUAAUUUCACACCGUCAAAUAACCAAUAACCAGGAUACCGACACGCAAUGCAGGGAAAAUAAAUAAAAAAUAACCAAAAAGACCCUAAAAACUAUUAAUUGAAUUACGCACAGUAUAAUAGUAAAUAAAUAUAGGCAAUAUAGGAAAAUAAACAGGAAAUCAAAACGACUGUGAACUAAAUUGUUCCGGCUCCACCAAUGACCUGUAAUUAUUUUUAGAGUUCUCUAAUUUUUUAUAAAAACACACAAUUAUUAAUUAUUAAGUUUUAAUUUGGUGUAAUGGAGAAAAAGAUGAGAGAUUCUUACCCAAAUCGGUGCCCGAAAUACUGAACUUUCUACUGUGUCUAUUGUCGGUCUUCAGGUUUCUUAAAUUAUCCAUGUGGAAUCUAAAACACUUGUUACGUACCUAAAAAUAUCAUAGGAAUCCAAAAUUGGUAAAAAAAUCCUUUCCGACAAAAUUUGGGGUUCCGGCACAGCGGCACCGCCGUGCUUCAAUGACAGCACCACUGCUUGCGGCGGUAGUUUGCCUCGGUUUGGCCGUUUUUGGCCAGUUUUGGCCAGUUUUGGCUAACUUUAUACAUAUCCCUACAAGAAAAUACGUUAGAGGGCCUCGGUUGGCCGAAAAAAUCGAAAAACAGAAACUUACCCGCAGUGGGGUUUUUCGGAUGCGGUGGCUCCGCCAGCUCACCUUCGCGACUGGGAGUUUUUCUUCGGUCAACCGGUAAAAAACAGAACGGUGAACACAACAAUGAAAAAAUCGCACGAAACGAAAAACGAGAAGGGGCUCAUCGGAGGAGGUUGCGAGUUUUGCCCACGGCAGCACCGCCGAGCUUCGCCCGCAGUUUUCGGCUCAACCACUAUCCCUUUUGCUCCGAUUUAGCCAUAGGGGUGCUUGAAAUCAAAUUUCAAGUGGUUAAGAGAACUUUUACCUUUUUUGGCGGUCGGAGGUGGCUCCGGUGCGGUGGCGGUUAACGAUCUUCUCCCUUCUUCGGCGACUGGUUCUUCUUCUUCGGCAGGAGGUUGGCGGCUAGGAUUUGAGUUCAGUGUGAUGCGAAAUAUUUAUUACCGUCUUGCGUUAAUUUAGGUUGUUCAUCACAUUUGAUCUCGACUAUCAGAUCGCGUUUAAAGAAAAAAUGAAUCUUGAUUGUUCAUCGCGAUUUGAUCUCGACUGUCCGAUCGCUUUUAAAGGGGGAACAAAUCCGGACCGUCCACGCAUGCGGGAUCGAUCUUGGGCCGUUCGAUCGCAAGGCAUGCGAAUCGCCCGCGUGACAUCAACAUCAACGUGUCUUGCCACACGGCGUGCUCCGGUUCAUCGGAGUUGCUGACUGGGUAGUCCUACAUGGCAAAUUUUUCUUAUUUGCACUCUAACUUUCAAUUUUUGAUUUUUCUUUGAAAAAUAUCUCCCAGACCCAAAUUUUCACUUCUUUUUUUCCAAAAUUAGUUUUAAUUUCAUCCGUAACCUAAUUUUUUUUAUAAAUUCAACAAAAAUUAAAAUAAAUUAAUUUUAAAAAUAAUUUUUUUUAUAUUUUUAAAAAUGUAAAAUUAAUCUCGAACCAAAUUUCAGAUCUAGAUAUUGCAUAUACUUUUCUAUUAUUUAAGCUUUAUUCCUUAUCCAAUUCCUUCUUUAUUUAUCUAAGUCAUUUCGUUUUCUUUUAACUUAAACUUAAUCUCAUUUCAAUCCUAUUACUUUGCUUGGUUAAGGAACUUAUUUUACUAAAUUUGUUAACUUUAAAUUAUUAUCUCAUUUUUUGUUUUGUAUGUUAUGAUUUUUUUUCUUUUAUUCUGAUUUAACUUAGCUCCAAACAAUUUCUCGAUUUUUCUCCCUCACAAUUUUCUUUUCUCACAAUUCUUCCUAAGCUUGUCUAUUUAUUGUAUUAUUUCUUUCUUUAUUUUGAAUUUUGUAUUUACUAAUUUUUAUUUAUCAACUUAUUUUAAUUUAUUUAUUAAUUUCAUUAAAUCUUCUUAUUUCAUUUUAUAUUGGUUAUUAUCUUUUAACCUAUAUGUAUUACUUUUGAUUAAUAAAUUACUUAACUCUAGUUUCUAAUUAUUGUAUUUUUAUUUGUAUAUUAAUUUCAAGCAUUUUUUUCCUAUUCAUUUCCUUUUGUUACUCUUUUGUCAAAACUCUUUCUUUUUGCUAUCCAAAAUUAUUUAUCAAUCUAAACUAUAAAUCCCAUGAAUCAUGUCUUUUUAUUAUCUUUCAAUUGCUUUUAUCAUUUAUGUUACUUAAAAAAUCAAUUUAAAAUCAAAGUUUUUAGUAUUUAUUUAUUUUUUCUAACCUCCAUAUUCAGUCACCUAUCUAGAUAUUGUCAUACCACACUCAAAUUUCAUAUUUAAAAUAUAUAUGCUAAUAUGUAUUUAAUUAUAUCAAUAUAUAAAUUUUUAUUACAAUGUUUACGUUAAAAUCAUGUAAAAUAUAUUCCAUAUAAUUUAUUCUUCAUGCAUAUAAAAUCUAUUUUUUAUCAUAUAAAUAUAUGUUGUAUUAUACAUACUGCCUUUGUAUAUAUACAUACAUAACAAGCCUACAUAUAUUUAUACACUACAUAUAUAUAUAUAUAUAUAUAUUCAGAUACCACUCAAACAUAUAUAUUCAUAUAUUCAACUACAUACACAGUAUACAUACAUGCACAUGAUAAGUUUGCAGAGUGUAUAUACUAUAUAUAUAUAUAUAUAUCGCAAAAACUUGAGAAUAUGUAAAAUAUUAGGAUAAACCAAUUUAAGAGAAAUUUAAAAUUUUCAUAAAAAUAUGAAGGGUCUUGUCUUCGAACGAACUAACCCAAUCCUUACCUAAAUUUAAAAUAAGAAAAUGAUGCCGGAAGUCUUAGGUUCGAGUCCCGAAACCUUACCAUGAAAAUAAGAUUUCGGUAUCUGAUGGACUUCCCUUCGGCUCGCCGUGUCAGAGUGAACGGUAUAGACUUAGAUCUGCACGUGUGUGUGAUUAAAACAUGUUUUAAAAGUAUGGAAGUAGAAAAGAGAAGAGAAGCGUACCUGUAUCUCAAACACCACCGUCUCCGGUGUCCGAUAUGGCCUCAGGCCAUAAUGACUCUUUUCUUUUCUUCCUUUUUUUCUUUUCCUCUAGUCUAUCGCACCUCCAUGAGCACCUUCCUUUUCUCUCUCUCUCUCUCUCUAGAUUGUCGAUCUGCCUUGUCUGAUUUUCUCUCACAAAUCUGGGCUGUUAGAUCAUUUUAGAGGUAUUUUUGUCUUUUCGCAUUGGAAAAUAAUCCUUGACCUUUCAAUCUUGUCCCUUUUAAAUCGUGGCCAUCCGAUCUAGAGUUUCAUUAAAGGUUUUUAGGUCUUUUUAUACCUCAAAACACGGUUGUUGGAUCUCUCCCUUAGCGACCAGAGCUGUUCAUCUUCUCCUUGAAUCGAGGCCGCACGAUUGGUUUGGAUGAGAAUCAAAUCGCGGCCGUUGAUUUGAAA